CCUAGCCUUAAACCAAAUUGCAAAACUAAACCGUGACAACCUCAGCUCACACUAGAGUGUCCCUAAUAUAACCAAAUUAAGAACUUAACCCUUUGACAACCUCCGCUCACACUAAGGAGUGUGCCUACAAAUAACCAGAGGUAGAAAAUAAGAGGGACAGGGUUCAAUAGGAGAAAUAAAUAAAAGGUGCUACCAGUGUUAGGCAUGUGAGUGUAAGAAAAGUGUUAAAAUAUAUUGAAAAAGACAAACCCCGACGUCCGUUUUGGUGUGAAGACAGACCUUUGUCACUAGGUCCAAAGCAGUUGUUUUUGUUCUAGCAGUCUGUCUUUCUAUAGCCCUUACUGUUUAUAGCUGCUGUCUUAGGCUAAGGAUUCCCAGGGUAGAACAGUGGGUUUUGUAGUUUGCAAUCACUGCACUGUAUAUAUGUUUUCACUUUCGCCACUUAGCUUGGUG